CCUACGGGUGGCAGCAGUGAGGAAUAUUGGUCAAUGGACGAGAGUCUGAACCAGCCAAGUAGCGUGAAGGAUGACUGCUCUAUGGGUUGUAAACUGCUUUUAUAAAGGAAUAAAACGAGGCACGUGUGCCUGUCUGCAUGUACUUUAUGAAUAAGGAUCGGCUAACUCCGUGCCAGCAGCCGCGGUAAUACGGAGGAUUCGAGCGUUAUCCGGAUUUAUUGGGUUUAAGGGGUGCGUAGGUGGGUGGAUAAGUUAGUGGUGAAAGUUUGCGGCUCAACUGUAAAAUUGCAACUGAUACUGGCAGUCUUGAGUGCAGUUGAGGUAGGCGGAAUGCAUGGUGUAGCGGUGAAAUGCUUAGAUAUCACAAAGAACCCCGAUUGCGAAGGCAGCUUACUAAGCUAUGACUGACAUUGAUGCACGAAAGUGUGGGUAGCAAACAGGAUUAGAUACCCCUGUAGUC
rnacentral:rRNA from 1 species